GCUAACAGGCAGCUUGCAAAACACUGACGAAUGAACAUGUUAGGCAAGAGUGAAAUGAACGGUUUUGACAAGGACUGAGUAGCAGUGAGGGUCUGCGUGCUGCAGUGCGAACGCCGCAGGAGUCGGACCCACCCCAAUUUUUAAUUACUGCCGUGAUGCAACCCGCAGCUCCCAGGACUGCAGCUCGUCACAGGGAGGACCAACUGCCUUGAGCCCGGUGUGCAGGAGGGAAGAUGGUUUUCCAUGACAGCAAGGCCAGAAGAACUACAGAAACUCUCUCCUCCUAAGCAGCUCACCAGUAACACUGAACAGUCCCAGAAGAGGGAAGCCAGCACGGGGCACCACCUAACGGCCACUGGAUCCCCGGCUUUGCUUCCCUGCAGUUUCCUCCCAGCUGAAAUUACAGCUAGCAGAGAAGAAAUCCAACCGUUCAACUGAGCUACCAGUUACUAAUCCUGAAAUUCGGCAGGACUGAUCAGGGCACCUGACAUUCCACAUCCAUGCACACCCACACGCUCUGAACGCAGGACUGAUCUGCAGGAAGAAAACGAAGCUCCCUGAGCCACGGGACCCUGAUGGCAACGGGCACAAGCAGGGACGGCUCUGGCCCCAGGGGCAGGGCUAGCACAGCAGCCUGAGAGCCGGAGGCCCGUGAUCCGAUAGCACUCUGUCCUAAACACUUUCUGCUUUUGUGGUUGGGCACCUGCAACACCAUGAGCAGCACAGGUCAGAACCCCCUAAUCGUUAGGAUUGUUCACAGAAUCUGUGAUGUCCCCUGAA